rnacentral:tRNA from 1 species
UUGAAAAUAGCUCAGUGGUAGAGUGUUUGCUAGCAUGCACAAGGACCUAGGUUCAAGACCUGGUUCUGAAA